rnacentral:rRNA from 1 species
AAUCUUUGAACGCACAUUGCGCCCGCCAGUAUUCUGGCGGGCAUGCCUGUUCGAGCGUCAUUUCAACCAUCAAGCCCCCGGCUUGUGUUGGGGACCUGCGGCUGCCGCAGGCCCUGAAAACCAGUGGCGGGCUCGCUAGUCACUCCGAGCGUAGUAAUACAUACAUCUCGCUCAGGGCGUGCUGCGGGUUCCGGCCGUUAAAAAGCCUUAUUUACCCAAGGUUGACCUCGGAUCAGGUAGGAAGACCCGCUGAACUUAAGCAUAUCAAUAAGCGGAGGAAAAGAAACCAACAGGGAUUGCCCUAGUAACGGCGAGUGAAGCGGCAACAGCUCAAAUUUGAAAUUCGGCUUCGGCCCGAGUUGUAAUUUGUAGAGGAUGCUUUGGGUGCGGCUCUGACUGAGUUCCCUGGAACGGGACGCCACAGAGGGUGAGAGCCCCGUAUAGUCAGAUGCCUAGCCUAUGUAAAGCUCCUUCGACGAGUCGAGUAGUUUGGGAAUGCUGCUCAAAAUGGGAGGUAAAUUUCUUCUAAAGCUAAAUAUUGGCCAGAGACCGAUAGCGCACAAGUAGAGUGAUCGAAAGAUGAAAAGCACUUUGAAAAGAGGGUUAAAUAGCACGUGAAAUUGUUGAAAGGGAAGCGCUUGUGACCAGACUUGCGCCGGGCAGAUCAUCCGGUGUUCUCACCGGUGCACUCUGCCCGGCUCAGGCCAGCAUCGGUUCUCGUGGGGGGAUAAAGGUCCCGGGAACGUAGCUCCUCCGGGAGUGUUAUAGCCCGGGGCGCAAUGCCC